GGCUUUCUCAUACCAUUUAGGAGAUAAUGUUCUUUGAGGUGUCUUUUGCACAUGUGGAUGUGGUGUUGCCCUCUGCUUUUUUCCAGAGAAAAAAGAUAGUGGUGUGCCCUCUCCUGCAACCUUGCCUGCAUCCAGUUUUAACAGCAGAGUUUGAGCCUUGGGAUGUGUCAGGUGGAUGCAUCCAGAUUCUCAGGCCAAAGAGGGCAAGAACUCAAGAGCCAGAUCUUCCUUCCCCAGGUCUUCCCCACCAGGAACUGGCAUGAGAAAACUUGAGAGACCCUUCUUUGCCUGUAAGCCCAUGUAGUUUUUUCCACUGGAGGUGGGGAAAUCACUGCCAGGAUUUAAUAGGAAAUGUAAUAGGGUUAACCUUAAUUUAAAUAAUUGUUAAGCUAUUAAAAUAGCUAUUAGCAUGCCCUAUCAUUUGCUAUCAGACAAAUGCAAAUAUGUGUCACCGCAUCAAUUCACAAGAACACAGAUUGGGAACUGAUAAUUGUUACUGUAGUUCCCACCCCAGAGAUCCAGGAGGUUUUUGUUACUAUAUGACGAACCUCAGCAUUUGCAAUAGCCUCUCUAUCUGCAGCAGCAAGCUGAGGUGGGUGUAGGCAGAAAUAUAAAGGCAUUUUCAUCCUCCUGCAUUUGCAAAACAGAUUUACCUUCAGUAAUGCAAAAUGGAAUAUGUCCAGAAUCUAACCUCUGAAUAUUUUUAUGUAGUUUUAUAGCAAUGAUCCCAUCCUGUUUCUGUUAAAGAUUCAACAUUUUAAUGAGCAAUGGAUGAACAAGAUCUUCUGGCCUGAGCCCUAGAAGUGCACUACUGUCUAUAAAAUAUGUGUUGUUAAGAGCCACUGCGGAGUCAAAUGGAGCAUUAUGUAAUUCUUUGGCAAAUGGGCUCUCUGUGUAAGUACUUGGAAGUUAUAAGUUUGUUAACUUUGUCUUCCCAAGCUGUAAAAGGGUCCCAUAAUAGCAAUUUCUCUUGGCUUGCCAGGCACAGAAAUUAACUCUAGAAAACUAUGUAACAGAAGAUUAAAAAUAAAGCAG
rnacentral:lncRNA from 1 species